rnacentral:rRNA from 1 species
AUGGUUGCAACCAACGAUGGAUCAGUGCCCCGCGCCUCGCCUGCUCGGCCCCAUGGGCAGCAUCUCCAUCAGCGACGACACCAGCGCCGUCGCCGGGCUCGGCGGCACGGGCCUCGCGGCGUCGGCGCACCGCACGAAGCUCGCGGCGAGGAUCGCGACGAGGACGGCGACGACGAGGAACAAGUCGAGGCGGCGGCGAGCUUCCAUGGCCUCCCAAGAAGAAACGAACGCGCCCUUGGAAUUGGAUGGAUCUCCUCUGAAUCCCAAGGAGCACAAGCACACAGAAGACUUGUCUGA